UUAUUAUUAAUAUUAUUUGAAAUAAAUGAAUUAUUUUAUAUUUUAGUAAUAGUUUUAUUUAAUAAAAAUAUUUUAAAUUUUAGUAAUUUUAUAAAAAAAURRUAUUUAUUAUAGUUAAUUUGUAUUGUGAAAGAUUUUUUUUAAUUUUUUAAAAGAAGAAUUAAUUUUUUGUACCUUGUGUAUCAGGGUUUAUUAAUUAAAAUUUUGUUAUAAUGAAAUUUCUCGAAUUUAAAAGAGUUAUUUAAUAAUGGUUUUUAUUGUAGAAUAAUUAUAUAAAAUUUUUUCAUAGAAGUGAGAUGUUAGUCGAUUUUAAAUUUAUCUAGUUAUCAAAGAAAAAAUUUAAAUUUUAUUUUUUUGUAAGAAAUUUCUAUUUAAUAUAGUUAUUUCUUAAAAAAAUUAAAUGUUUAUAGGGUUGAGCUUAUAAACAGAUAGAUAUAAUUUAUUUUUAAAAAUUUAAUAAAGUAGGAUUAUAAGUUUUUUUCUUUUAGUGUGUUAUAACUAGGUUAUUUAAUUUAAUGAUUUUUAUAUAAAUUUAUUUGUUUUAUUUGGUUUUUUAUUUUAUCUGGAUUAGUAGAGAAAAAAUGAUAAAAUUAGUAUAAUUAUAUUAGAAUUUUUUUGGAAGGUAAAGGUUUUAUAAAGGAAUUCGGCAAAUUUAUUUUUCACCUGUUUAUUAAAAACAUGGCCUUUUGAGUAUAAUAUAAGGUCUGACCUGCCCAAUGAAAGUUAAAUGGCCGCGGUAUUUUGACCGUGCAAAGGUAGCAUAAUCAUUAGUUUUUUAAUUGAAAGCUUGUAUGAAGGGUUGGAUGAAAAAAUAGCUGUCUCUAUAAAAAUUAGUUAAAAUUUUAUUUUUAAGUUAAAAAGCUUAGAUAUAUUUAAAAGACGAGAAGACCCUAUAGAAUUUUAUAUUUUAAAUUAAUAAGAUUAGAAGGAUUUAAAAUUUUAUUGUAAAGAAAUAUUUUGUUGGGGUGAUUGAAAAAUUGAAGUAACUUUUUUUGUAUUAAAUCACUAAUAUGUGAAUAAUUGAUCUUUUUUUUCGGAUUAUAAGAAUAAAUUACCUUAGGGAUAACAGCGUAAUUUUCUUUUAGAGUUCAAAUUAAUAAGAAAGUUUGCGACCUCGAUGUUGGAUUAAAAUUAAUUUUGGUGUAGAAGCUAGAAAGAUUUAGUCUGUUCGACUAUUAAAAUUUUACAUGAUCUGAGUUUAAACCGGUGUGAGCCAGGUUGGUUUCUAUCUUUAAAAAUUUAAAAUAUUUUAGUACGAAAGGACCAAAUAUUAAUUUAAGAAAUUUGUAAAUUGAUAAAAAUUAUUAUU
rnacentral:rRNA from 1 species